UUGAAUAAACCUGAUGUGGUUGUUGCUGGCUCUCUCGGGAGUAUGUGCACGCCCGUCAUCUUUAUAUUUCCACCUGUGCACCUUUUGUAGACCCGCGCGACUUGAGCAAUCAAGUCAAGUAGGCCUACGUUUUAUCAUAUACCCCAUAGUAUGUAUCAGAAUGUAUCAGUGGGCUUUGUGCCUAUAAACACUAUA
rnacentral:misc_RNA from 1 species